rnacentral:rRNA from 1 species
GACGAACGCUGGCGGCGUGCUUAACACAUGCAAGUCGAGCGGAAAGGCCCUUUCGGGGGUACUCGAGCGGCGAACGGGUGAGUAACACGUGAGUAAUCUGCCCUUGGCUUUGGGAUAACUACCGGAAACGGUGGCUAAUACCGGAUAUGACCAUGCUCGGCAUCGGGUGUGGUGGAAAGUUUUUUCGGCCAGGGAUGUGCUCGCGGCCUAUCAGCUUGUUGGUGGGGUAAUGGCCUACCAAGGCUUCGACGGGUAGCCGGCCUGAGAGGGUGACCGGCCACACUGGGACUGAGACACGGGCCCAGACUCCUACGGGAGGCAGCAGUGGGGAAUAUUGGACAAUGGGCGGAAGCCUGAUCCAGCAACGCCGCGUGAGGGAUGACGGCCUU